UACGGGGGGAGCAAGCGUUGUUCGGAUUUACUGGGCGUAAAGGGCGCGUAGGCGGCGCAACAAGUCACUUGUGAAAUCUCCGGGCUUAACCCGGAGCGGUCAAGUGAUACUGUCGUGCUAGAGUGCGGAAGGGGCUACUGGAAUUCUCGGUGUAGCGGUGAAAUGCGUAGAUAUCGAGAGGAACACCUGCGGCGAAGGCGGGUAGCUGGGCCGACACUGACGCUGAUGCGCGAAAAGCCCAGGGGAGCCGAACGGG
rnacentral:rRNA from 1 species